CGUGAUGCGAUGCAAUGAAACGCAGAUAUAAAUCAUGCAUGAUAUGAUAUAAUGGAGUCAUGUCAUAUUGAUGUGAUGGCAUGCAUCACGGUAUCCUUGGUUGGGCGUGCGUGAGCCCGCUCGGGCACACGGGGGAGACAUCGAAUCUAGGCCGCUUGAUCUUGCUCGUGAGGAUGGAGAUCGUUGGGUCCCUUUUGGGGGAGUCGGGUACGGAUAAAGGGGGACCGAUGAGGUGAUGGGGGG
rnacentral:lncRNA from 1 species